GGAUUCCAACGGUACACGAGAUGACAAGGGGUUCAUCGAGGUGUGUGGUGGUAGGCUCUUUCGUUGGACCCGCUGCCUGUUCGGCAUCGGCUCCAUAACAGUCAUGAACCAACUAGCCUGUCCUUCCAUUUGUGGUAUUGAUGGCCAUGGACCACGGUUCUAGUAGUCGGCAAAGCACGUAUCUACUAACUGCUCCUAUCCAGGAUGCGUGCAAAAGGUUCCCCUGGAGGUUGGGGCACACCGUGGAUGGCUUAAACCCGCCCUUCUUCAGUUACAUUCUAGAUUGUGGUGCUGAUCUCAGUCAGGAAAAGGAAGAGAACAUUAUUGUUCUUCAUCUGUCCGUGAAGAAAGGUACUAGCAACUGCUACUACAACCUAGUACAAGAACUUCCUUUUAUCACACUUGCUGCUGCUUUUUACUAGAAUUGUCACAUAUGAGUUGCCAUUUGUUAUUUUCGUUUUGUUUUGGGGGCCUGCUAUAUUAUAAAUACCAAGUUAUACCUGAGUUUUUGUCAAAGUAUUACUUGAAAGUACAAAUGAAUUUUGAAUGAGUGGAAAACUUAGUAGUAGGCUCAUUUUAUUAGUUUUCUUCAGUACGAUCAUGCCUUGUUUUCGUAUCAUUUUGUUUAUGUUGGCAGAAUUAUUGCACAUAAUUAUAGUUCACAUAUGAUGUUGCAUUCGGAAAUCGAUUUGAACUCAUUGAGAUGCUCAAGGAGUCACAAACACUCGUCUUGCAAUGCAAGCACUUGUGCUGAUGACCAUCCAUCCUUGGUACAUUUAAUUACAUGGCAAUUUCUAGGAUUCUGGGUUGCGCUGAUGGUCUCUAAUGCAAGCACUUGUGCUUCUCGUGGUGAUUAUGGUAAAAUAAUUAGUGGAUUUAGCCCUCAAUUUUAGUCCUAUGAGUUUUUGUCUUUUGCCGGGUAUUGUGUUGCAUGCGCUGGAGUGUUUCCCUUGUCGACGUGCUGGGUAAUGUGUGUGCUGGUUGCAGUUGGUCCUUGGUUGAUCUCCAUGCCAGUGGUUGGAAUGUUUUGGCUGUGUGAUAUGUGUGAUGGUUUACCAGGCUUUGUUAUAAAGAAGCCCCUUAUGGCAUGUCCUCUAAAACACUAUAACUCUGAUUCGUCUACUAGUGAUGACAUGGUUGUUUGAUUCCUAGGGUUGUUAUCAAAUUCUGGCAUGUUCUGUCCUAUGUACCCUAACAGUGCAUUCCUGAUAUCAAUCGUUCCUAUGAUCAUGUACAGUUCAUUUGGUCAUUUUCACUGUUGCUUGAUCAUCUAUUGUUGCUCGAUUGUCUAAAUCUUCUUGAUUUGGAAAGCUAGACAUGCUAUUUCCUAACUGCUAGCUCCAUAACAGAACAUGUAUUUCUUUUCACUCAUUCAUGACUCUCAUUUUAAUGGGUUUUGUCAAUGAAACAAUGCAAGAUAGGAGUGGGAUCACUGAAUUGUUUUACAUAGAUUAGAUGACCGGCCGAUUGCUAUUUUGUUGUGUGCAUGUUUACUGGACACAUACAUUACACUUUUUUUAGCUUGCUCAUUAUAGACUGGACAUUGGUCAUGUGGAAGGACUAGCAGACGGAUGGCUGCUUGCCCAUCCUAGCAAACAUGGUGAGCUUCCCCCCUCCUCCACAUCUGCAUAGCACGCACAGUUUGUAUGUUUUGGUUUUCUCGCGUGAUUUGAGAACAAAGGCGCAAGCAUGGUUCAAAGUAGACUACUCUCCUCUGCUGGUAUGGUCACUCGGUUCUGAACUUUAAAUUGUAUAUAAUCUUAAAGUGGAGUAAUCCCCUGUAUCAAAUCUGACUUCACCAUGAUUUGAGUGGAAUAAUAAGAAGAAUAUGCAUAGCUUCUUGUUGUUAGUUUGUUUGGCAUAAAAAUUAACAUGCGGUGACAAUUCUUUUGUU